rnacentral:rRNA from 1 species
UACGUAGGGUGCGAGCGUUAAUCGGAAUUACUGGGCGUAAAGCGUGCGCAGGCGGUUAUGUAGGACAGGUGUGAAAUCCCCGGGCUUAACCUGGGAACUGCAUUUGUGACUGCAUAGCUAGAGUACGGUAGAGGGGGAUGGAAUUCCGCGUGUAGCAGUGAAAUGCGUAGAUAUGCGGAGGAACACCGAUGGCGAAGGCAAUCCCCUGGACCUGUACUGACGCUCAUGCACGAAAGCGUGGGAGCAAACAGG